UACGUAGGUGGCAAGCGUUGUCCGGAUUUACUGGGCGUAAAGGGCGCGUAGGCGGCACAGCAAGUCGGGAGUGAAAGCCCGGGGCUCAACCCCGGAAUGGCUUUCGAAACUGCUGAGCUAGAGUACAGAAGGGGCAACCGGAAUUCCCAGUGUAGCGGUGAAAUGCGUAGAUAUUGGGAAGAACACCUGAGGCGAAGGCGGGUUGCUGGGCUGAUACUGACGCUGAGGCGCGAAAGCCAGGGGAGCAAACGGG
rnacentral:rRNA from 1 species